UACGGGGGGGGCUAGCGUUGUUCGGAAUUACUGGGCGUAAAGGGCUCGUAGGCGGCCAACUAAGUCAGACGUGAAAUCCCUCGGCUUAACCGGGGAACUGCGUCUGAUACUGGAUGGCUUGAGUUUGGGAGAGGGAUGCGGAAUUCCAGGUGUAGCGGUGAAAUGCGUAGAUAUCUGGAGGAACACCGGUGGCGAAGGCGGCAUCCUGGACCAGCACUGACGCUGAGUGAGCGAAAGCCAGGGGAGCAAACGGG
rnacentral:rRNA from 1 species